rnacentral:rRNA from 1 species
UUCAUUGGGGGGUCCGUUACCCCUUGACAAGUCGAAACGGCAGCACGGGUGCUUGCACCUGGUGGCGAGUGGCGAACGGGUGAGUAAUACAUCGGCAACAUGUCCUGUAGUGGGGGAUAGCCCGGCGAAAGCCGGAUUAAUACCGCAUACGAUCUAUGGAUGAAAGCGGGGGACCUUCGGGCCUCGCGCUAUAGGGUUGGCCGAUGGCUGAUUAGCUAGUUGGUGGGGUAAAGGCCUACCAAGGCGACGAUCAGUAGCUGGUCUGAGAGGACGACCAGCCACACUGGGACUGAGACACGGCCCAGACUCCUACGGGAGGCAGCAGUGGGGAAUUUUGGACAAUGGGCGAAAGCCUGAUCCAGCAAUGCCGCGUGUGUGAAGAAGGCCUUCGGGUUGUAAAGCACUUUUGUCCGGAAAGAAAUCCUUGGCUCUAAUACAGCCGGGGGAUGACGGUACCGGAAGAAUAAGCACCGGCUAACUACGUGCCAGCAGCCGCGGUAAUACGUAGGGUGCAAGCGUUAAUCGGAAUUACUGGGCGUAAAGCGUGCGCAGGCGGUUUGCUAAGACCGAUGUGAAAUCCCCGGGCUCAACCUGGGAACUGCAUUGGUGACUGGCAGGCUAGAGUAUGGCAGAGGGGGGUAGAAUUCCACGUGUAGCAGUGAAAUGCGUAGAGAUGUGGAGGAAUUACCGAUGGCGAAGGCAGCCCCCUGGGCCAAUACUGACGCUCAUGCACGAAAGCCGUGGGGAGCAAACAGGAUUACAUACCCUGGAAGUCCCACGCCCUAAACC